AUAUAUAUAUAAAACCGAAGCUUUUGAAGCUCCCACAAAUUUCCACGUCAGCACAAUAUUAAAAAAAAAAACAUAAAUGAAAAAAAUAAAUAAAUAAGCAAAGAAAAACCUUUCCUAAAACCCGAUAAAAACCUAAGUAUAAAAAAACAUAAGCACCAAAAAAGCUCUGCCGUUCCUCUUUGGUCUCUUUUUCUCUACCUUCUCCUUCCCUAAAACCCAACACUGAAAAUCAAUCCUGCCUAGAAGCCAUCCCCAUACUGUCAGGUCUGAGUUAGAAAGAAGGCAUCACCAACCAUAUCGCUCCGAGGGAUCAGAAAGAUGAAGGAUUCGCUACCUUCGCAAGUUCUGAAUGAGAAGCUGCCACGGUUUUUGCAGAAGUGUGCACAGACCUUCGAUUCCGAUCGCCGUUACAAAAACGACUUACGGUACCUCCGCGUUUGGUUACGUGUGUAGAUGGGAUUUUGAAGAUCCGCGAUUUUGGGCGAUUUUGGGGAUGUAAACCACCAUAAUCAGACCAUAUCAAACCCACAACCCAAAAGCAAAAAACGAUUUUGAAGAUCCGUGAUUUUGGGGAUGUAAACUAAUCUGAAAUAACAACUCAUAUGGUGUUCUUUUGGGCGUGUAGUUUGUUAAGAUAAAGAUUGUCAAAGAAGAAGAUGACGAAGAAGAGCAAGAGCAAGCCGUAAUCUAAUCCAGUCAUGGCUGUUUUCUAGGAACUAUUUCAAGGCAAAGCAAAAGGGUUUGACAUGGAGAAGGCUUUAUUGGCAAAGUCUAUUCAUGAUUUUGAAAAAGCAAUAUCUAUGGUAUCUUAGCACAAGAGACGUGGUUGGGAAUGUGAGCAAGCAAAGAAGAUUUAUAAAACUCAAUGUUUUAUGUUGAAUAAAUAUAUGAUGUACUAUAUAAUGCAGAUUUGUUGUAUUAUGUUCUUUCUCUACUCUAUUUGAUGCAUAGCAAAAGAAUUUGACAUUGGUAACUAUAUUCUAUUUAUUUAUUAUGAAAAUAAGAUUGCGAUCAUUAUUGCAAUUUGUUUA